rnacentral:snoRNA from 1 species
ACGCAUGAUGAAAUGCACUGGGCUCUGAAAACCCUGGAUGUCGUGCACUACGCUGAACAAGCGGCGGCCUAGAAAACCGUUAACUGAACC